rnacentral:rRNA from 1 species
UACAGAGGGUGCAAGCGUUAAUCGGAAUUACUGGGCGUAAAGCGCGCGUAGGUGGUUUGUUAAGUUGGAUGUGAAAUCCCCGGGCUCAACCUGGGAACUGCAUUCAAAACUGAACAAGCUAGAGUAUGGUAGAGGGUGGUGGAAUUUCCUGUGUAGCGGUGAAAUGCGUAGAUAUAGGAAGGAACACCAGUAGGCGAAGGCGACCACCUGGACUGAAUACUGACACUGAGGUGCGAAAGCGUGGGGAGCAAACAGG